rnacentral:tRNA from 1 species
GAAGAUAUAGCUCAGUGGUAGAGCGCAUGCUUACCAUGCAUGAGGUCCUGGGUUCAAUCCCUAGCACGUCCA